rnacentral:ncRNA from 1 species
UACCUGGUUGAUCCUGCCAGUAGUCAUAUGCUUGUCUCAAAGAUUAAGCCAUGCAAGUCUAAGUACGAGCUCUCGUACAGUGAAACUGCGAAUGGCUCAUUAAAUCAGUUAUGGUUCAUUUGAUCGUACAGUUUACUUGGAUAACUGUGGUAAUUCUAGAGCUAAUACAUGCGAGAAGCGCCGACCUCGCGGGAGGCGUGCAUUUAUCAGACCAAAAACCGGCCGCGUCUUCGGGCGCGUUCGCCUUGGUGACUCUGGAUAACUUUGCGGAUCGCACGGUCUAGCACCGGCGACGGAUCAUUCAAGUGUCUGCCCUAUCAACUUUCGUCGGUACGGUAUUUGCCUACCGAGGUUCUUACGGGUGACGGGGAAUCAGGGUUCGAUUCCGGAGAGGGAGCCUGAGAAACGGCUACCACAUCCAAGGAAGGCAGCAGGCGCGCAAAUUACCCAUUCCCGACGCGGGGAGGUAGUGACGAAAAAUAACAAUGCAGGACUCG